GGGUUUGUGGCUCAGUGGUAGAGUGCUUGCCUAGCAUGCAUGAAGCCCUGGGUUCAAACCUCAGCACCA
rnacentral:tRNA from 1 species